rnacentral:tRNA from 1 species
ACUGGUAGCUCAGUAGGUAGAGCAACUGACUUUUAAUCAGUGGGUCGGGGGUUCGAUUCCCCCCUAGUCC